GUGCUCGCUUCGGCAGCACAUAUACAAAAAUUAGAAUGAUACAGAGAAGAUUAGUAUGGCCCCUGUGCAAGGGUGACAUGCAAAUUCGUGAAGUGUUCCAUAUAAAA
ensembl:snRNA U6 U6 spliceosomal RNA